GGGUUCCUACGGGGGGCAGCAGUGGGGAAUAUUGCACAAUGGGGGAAACCCUGAUGCAGCAACGCCGCGUGAGUGAAGAAGUAUUUCGGUAUGUAAAGCUCUAUCAGCAGGGAAGAAGAUGACGGUACCUGAUUAAGAAGCCCCGGCUAACUACGUGCCAGCAGCCGCGGUAAUACGUAGGGGGCAAGCGUUAUCCGGAUUUACUGGGUGUAAAGGGAGCGUAGACGGCGUCGCAAGUCUGAAGUGAAAGCCCGUGGCUCAACCGCGGAACCGCUUUGGAAACUGUAGAGCUUGAGUGCGGGAGG
rnacentral:rRNA from 1 species